UCUCACAGCAUUGGAUUUGAUCUGUUAAGAAAAAGUGGACACUCAAGAUUUGAAAUUAAGUAUAAAACUGUCCAUGAAGGUUAUCAACCGUUUUCAACCUUGAAGUCUAGUAAAUAAUGGUUCACAAAAACAAACAUCACCUGAAACUCCAAAAUUUAAAAGUAAAGAUGGUGGGUCAGGGAAUUGCUGUAAAUGGAUCAGAGUGAAUGUUUAUGUGUCUUACAGAACAAUAAUUAUCAUGAAAACAUCAAUCAUAGACUCCACUACAUUUUGGUAUUCAAGGAUGGAAAGGAAAGGAAGGGAAAUUAUAUUCAGGAAAGGAUGAGAAAAGAACAUGUAUUAGACAAAUGAAGAUACCAUUUAAACAAAUCUUAAUUUAUCACGUAGUGCUCAUGCCUCAUGAACUGUUACAAUCUGCAGUGCAUAUAUGCUGUCAAAUGCAACAGACAAAAGAAACACUCUUAGUCCUGGCACACCACAAAUUAAAAAACCCUAAGAUUAUUACAGUUAGUUUUAAAUUUUUUGGUUAUUCCCUUUCCACACAUAUCAAUUGAUGGAUACCUUGGACUUGGCUCCACCCCUGCCCUGCCCUCCUCUUACUCCAUUUAUAUGUAUUUGCUAUUGUAAAGAAAAAACCAAUCUCACCAACAUCAUGAAAUAAUAAUAUAAUGACAUAAACACAGGAUUAAACAUGUAAUAACCUUAUGGUCCAUAUUCCAUAAACAAGCAUGAGUGAGGAACUGUGAAUAUUGGAAUCAGUGACCAUUAAUAACUACAUAUGUGUGAACGCAAAAGGAGUAAAAAAUAAUAAAACUGAUAGAAAUGACCUUGCUAAUACUGAUCAAUUCAUUUACCUUGUCACCAUCUUUCGUUAGACGCAAAGCACAAUCAGCUAAGAAUUCCAUUAAUCGAGUGUUUGCAUUUGAAUCUGACAACUUGUCUAAAGGAAAAUCAUUGAUACAGUGACGUAGAGAAUCACAAAUGUUUGCAAAAGCCCAUGAAGAUGUUAUUCGCACCAUAGCCAAGGGAUCAUGAGUGUUGAUCUCAAUCGCGUGGAUAAACUUGGCAAGAAUCUCUGCGCUGUGAGAUAUUUGUGGAAAACAAGAGAUGACACCAAUAGCUCGACAAGCAGCUGACCUAACUGAAGGAACCUCAUCAUCUACAGCAGCAUUGAU
rnacentral:misc_RNA from 1 species